rnacentral:rRNA from 1 species
UGGGGAAUUUUGGACAAUGGGGGAAACCCUGAUCCAGCCAUCCCGCGUGUGCGAUGAAGGCCUUCGGGUUGUAAAGCACUUUUGGCAGGAAAGAAACGUCGCGGGUUAAUACCCCGCGGAACUGACGGUACCUGCAGAAUAAGCACCGGCUAACUACGUGCCAGCAGCCGCGGUAAUACGUAGGGUGCAAGCGUUAAUCGGAAUUACUGGGCGUAAAGCGUGCGCAGGCGGUUCGGAAAGAAAGAUGUGGAAUCCCAGAGCUUAACUUUGGAACUGCAUUUUUAACUACCGGGCUAGAGUGUGUCAGAGGGAGGUGGAAUUCCGCGUGUAGCAGUGAAAUGCGUAGAUAUGCGGAGGAACACCGAUGGCGAAGGCAGCCUCCUGGGAUAACACUGACGCUCAUGCACGAAAGCGUGGGGAGCAAACAGGAUUAGAUACCCUGGUAGUCCACGCCCUAAACGAUGUCAACUAGCUGUUGGGGUCUUCGGACCUUGGUAGCGCAGCUAACGCGUGAAGUUGACCGCCUGGGGAGUACGGUCGCAAGAUUAAAACUCAAA